rnacentral:lncRNA from 1 species
AUAUAAUUGUAUUUCUUAUCAUAAGAUCUAAUUAGGUAAUAUAAUUUUUUUUAAAUUUGAUUUAAAAGUACCUAACCUACUUGUUUCUAUAGGUAAUUCAUAUAACAUGAAAUGACUUAAUGUUAGGUUGGUACAUUAUAAUAUUAUAACAAAUUUUACACCACUGUAAUUAGAGAGAGCACUAUUGACGCUAAAUUAAAAUUUGAUGUUUGAAGCAGCAUUAGAGUUUAAAAUUCUAAAAUCUACUAUCAACCAUAAUAUUCGAGAGGAAUAAAUCUCAUAGAAGGUCUCAUUACUGCAAGUAAAUAAAAAUUUAUUUUAACUACAUGUAAAAUUCAAAAAUAAUUUUACUGAACAAUAGAUGAUAUUACAGAAGUAAAUAUAGAUGAUGUAGUUUUGGAUAAGUUCAUGAUAAGUUAUUUUUUAAAUUGGUUAGGUAAAGCUUACUAAAAAACUAGAUGUUGUUUAAUUAAUUUCUAAGAAGUUAAAUAUUUUGUUAUGUAUUUAAUCUCGAGUAUAAUCUUAAUAAAUUCUUUAUAAUUAAUAAUAUAUUAAUUUAAACUUUAUAACUAGGUACCUAUUUACCUAUAAAUAAAAGGGUAGGUUAGAUUAAAAUAAUACAAUUUAAAGGCUGACAAUGGUUAAAUUAUUUUCUAAAAUAUUUAUUGUUAUUGUCAAUAUUGGUAUAACUUGUUGUUGAUUUAAACAUUUUAAUUAAAUAUGUUUGUGGUAAAAAUAUAGUAUAUACCCUUAAAAAAGAUUAAAAGCUAUUGUUUUGUUAAAUGUUUCAAUAAAAAAAAUCUACAAUUAAAUUGACAUUAUUUUUAAGUUUUAUUCAAAAAACAUAAUAAGAUUUAUUAUUUUAUUACUGAAAUCAUCUAAAAAUUAUUUACAAAAAGUUUAUAUAAGUUGAUUGUUAAUAAUAAUCGAUAAUUUUAAAGUACUUGUAUACAAUUAUAUUUGUAUACUCUUGUAACUGAUGCAUUUGUCUGUUGAAAUAUUACACUUGUGUCAUGUUCAUAUUAUAUUAAAUGGUUCUUUAAAAUUAAUUUUAAGUUAAAAAAAAUUUGUUGUUUUUAUACAAAAUAUAAGAUAUUUGUGUAAGCUGAACAAAUAUGUCGAUCAACGUUUCAAUAAUAAUAACUUAUUACUAGGGCACAAAUGUUGAUUGCAGUAUUGCACUAAAAACUACUGAAAAUUGCAUUCAAAAAAUUAAAAAUUUUAUUAAAAAAAUAAUGUAUUUUUUAAAAACUCUAAAACUGUAGCUCAAUUUUCGACAUAUUUACAAAACAAUAACAGAACUAAUAGUAUUCUUUUAGCCGACACGCUACACGAAAUUCAAAGUCUGACUGAAGAACAAAUUCUCAUAUUUACAUAAAUAUACAUAAUAAAUACGAUAAAUCUGAUAAUCCUAAUAGGACAGGACCGACACACAGAAAAUUGAUUGAAACUAGGUUACAAAACAACCUAUUUCUCAGUUUUUCUCCAGUAUUUUUAUUAAUUAUUAUUAUUUUAUUAUUUUAAAUUAUUUAUUAAAAUGUUAAUAUUUACUUUAUCCACUAGGAUAAUAUUAUUGUAACUCAUGCCUAUCUAAUAUGCUAUAACUUAUCCUCUUUUUUACUUCACUCUACAUCAUGAAUAUAUCGCAAUACCUACAUUAAUAUUAAAUAUUAAAAUUUAAAUUCAACACAAAGGGUUUCGCUAUAAAAUCAACAAAAUGCAAAAUGGUGUAACGUAAAUAUAAUUUAAAAAUAUACAACAAAGAGGAAAACUAGGUAAUUUAAACAAAUAGCUUUUGACAAAAUUUAUCUAGUCCACUUAACUACAUUCUAUGAUACAUAGAAUGUACAUACAUUCAUACAUUACAAUACAUCAUUUUACUUAUAGUUAUUAUACCUGUUCCAUUUCCAACGUUUAUUGUGAUAAUACAUCAAUCAAGUUAACAAAUGGCACAAUACAAAAAUAAUUGAAACUUUAUCGGCAUAUAGUGUAUGGACCGUACUUAGCUGAAUUCCAAUUAAAACAAAGAUUUAGAAAUGCACUAGUUGACAGAUCAAAAACUGAGACCACUCCACUUAAAGUAAUUUAUGAUGAGGGAUCAAUUAGGUAAAUAUAAUAAAUUAUUGUAUUGAAUUAGCCACAAAGAUAUAAACUUUAUCUUAAAUUUUACAGAAAUCCAUAAGCAGCAGUCAUGUAUAGUUAGCCAACUACUGAGUCGUCAUGCUGUCAUGCUUGUAAGAAGUCAACUCCACGUUUACCAUCCACAUUAUGAAAAUUAGACGAAUACUUGGAUAAUAAUGCAUAUAUGUAUGUAAAAUAAAUAAAUGUGGUUGAAACUUGAAAAUGUUUUCUUAAUAUAGUUUUACCUCACGCACUUAUAUAUAGAUGCAACAAUGAUGCAUUUUACCAAGAGUGGAUGAUAGAUUGGGAUGUUAAGUUCAGUAUAAUGUUUGGUUGCCAUGAUUGAAUAAGUGCAGUAGUACUAGGUGUUGUUGAACUGCAUGCAGAUAUAACGCUUAUGCCACAUUGUAGACAGUUAUUUGUUAUUCAUAUGAUCCUG